rnacentral:misc_RNA from 1 species
GUAACAAGGUUUCCGUAGGUGAACCUGCGGAAGGAUCAUUACCGAGUGCGGGCCCUCGUGGCCCAACCUCCCACCCUUGUCUCUAUACACCUGUUGCUUUGGCGGGCCCACCGGGGUCACCUGGUCGCCGGGGGACAAUCUGUCCCCGGGCCCGCGCCCGCCGAAGCGCUCUGUGAACCCUGAUGAAGAUGGGCUGUCUGAGUACUAUGAAAAUUGUCAAAACUUUCAACAAUGGAUCUCUUGGUUCCGGCAUCGAUGAAGAACGCAGCGAAAUGCGAUAAGUAAUGUGAAUUGCAGAAUUCCGUGAAUCAUCGAAUCUUUGAACGCACAUUGCGCCCCCUGGCAUUCCGGGGGGCAUGCCUGUCCGAGCGUCAUUUCUGCCCUCAAGCACGGCUUGUGUGUUGGGUGCGGUCCCCCCGGGGACCUGCCCGAAAGGCAGCGGCGACGUCCGUCUGGUCCUCGAGCGUAUGGGGCUUUGUCACUCGCUCGGGAAGGGCUGGCGGGGGUUGGUCACCACCAAAAUUUUACCACGGUUGACCUCGGAUCAGGUAGGAGUUACCCGCUGAACCUAAGCAUAUC